GAUGAACGCUGGCGGCGUGCUUAACACAUGCAAGUCGAACGAAGCACUUUAUUUGAUUUCCUUCGGGACUGAUUAUUUUGUGACUGAGUGGCGGACGGGUGAGUAACGCGUGGGUAACCUGCCUUGUACAGGGGGAUAACAGUUGGAAACGGCUGCUAAUACCGCAUAAGCGCACAGCAUCGCAUGAUGCAGUGUGAAAAACUCCGGUGGUAUAAGAUGGACCCGCGUUGGAUUAGCUAGUUGGUGAGGUAACGGCCCACCAAGGCGACGAUCCAUAGCCGACCUGAGAGGGUGACCGGCCACAUUGGGACUGAGACACGGCCCAAACUCCUAUGGGAGGCAGCAGUGGGGAAUAUUGCACAAUGGGCGAAAGCCUGAUGCAGCGACGCCGCGUGAGCGAAGAAGUAUUUCGGUAUGUAAAGCUCUAUCAGCAGGGAAGAUAAUGACGGUACCUGACGAAGAAGCACCGGCUAAAUACGUG
rnacentral:rRNA from 1 species